rnacentral:rRNA from 1 species
AUAUGCUACGGGGCGCAGCAGUGAGGAAUAUUGGUCAAUGGGCGCGAGCCUGAACCAGCCAAGUCGCGUGAGGGAUGACGGUCCUAUGGAUUGCAAACCUCUUUUGUCAGGGAGCAAAGGGCGCCACGUGUGGCGUUUUGCGAGUACCUGAAGAAAAAGCAUCGGCUAACUCCGUGCCAGCAGCCGCGGUAAUACGGAGGAUGCGAGCGUUAUCCGGAUUUAUUGGGUUUAAAGGGUGCGCAGGCGGGAGAUCAAGUCAGCGGUAAAAUGUCGGGGCUCAACCCCGGCCGGCCGU